GAUUAAGUUAUUAAGGGCGCACGGUGGAUGCCUUGGCACUAGAAGCCGAUGAAGGACGUUACUAACGACGAUAUGCUUUGGGGAGCUGUAAGUAAGCUUUGAUCCAGAGAUUUCCGAAUGGGGAAACCCAGCAUGAGUUAUGUCAUGUUAUCGAUAUGUGAAUACAUAGCAUAUCAGAAGGCACACCCGGAGAACUGAAACAUCUUAGUACCCGGAGGAAGAGAAAGAAAAUUCGAUUCCCUUAGUAGCGGCGAGCGAAACGGGAAGAGCCCAAACCAACAAGCUUGCUUGUUGGGGUUGUAGGACACUCUAUACGGAGUUACAAAGGACGACAUUAGACGAAUCAUCUGGAAAGAUGAAUCAAAGAAGGUAAUAAUCCUGUAGUCGAAAAUGUUGUCUCUCUUGAGUGGAUCCUGAGUACGACGGAACACGUGAAAUUCCGUCGGAAUCUGGGAGGACCAUCUCCUAAGGCUAAAUACUCUCUAGUGACCGAUAGUGAACCAGUACCGUGAGGGAAAGGUGAAAAGCACCCCGGAAGGGGAGUGAAAUAGAACCUGAAACCGUGUGCUUACAAGUAGUCAGAGCCCGUUAAUGGGUGAUGGCGUGCCUUUUGUAGAAUGAACCGGCGAGUUACGAUUUGAUGCAAGGUUAAGCAGUAAAUGUGGAGCCGUAGCGAAAGCGAGUCUGAAUAGGGCGUUUAGUAUUUGGUCGUAGACCCGAAACCAGGUGAUCUACCCUUGGUCAGGUUGAAGUUCAGGUAACACUGAAUGGAGGACCGAACCGACUUACGUUGAAAAGUGAGCGGAUGAACUGAGGGUAGCGGAGAAAUUCCAAUCGAACCUGGAGAUAGCUGGUUCUCUCCGAAAUAGCUUUAGGGCUAGCCUCAAGUGAUGAUUAUUGGAGGUAGAGCACUGUUUGGACGAGGGGCCCCUCUCGGGUUACCGAAUUCAGACAAACUCCGAAUGCCAAUUAAUUUAACUUGGGAGUCAGAACAUGGGUGAUAAGGUCCGUGUUCGAAAGGGAAACAGCCCAGACCACCAGCUAAGGUCCCAAAAUAUAUGUUAAGUGGAAAAGGAUGUGGCGUUGCCCAGACAACUAGGAUGUUGGCUUAGAAGCAGCCAUCAUUUAAAGAGUGCGUAAUAGCUCACUAGUCGAGUGACACUGCGCCGAAAAUGUACCGGGGCUAAACAUAUUACCGAAGCUGUGGAUUGUCCUUUGGACAAUGGUAGGAGAGCGUUCUAAGGGCGUUGAAGCAUGAUCGUAAGGACAUGUGGAGCGCUUAGAAGUGAGAAUGCCGGUGUGAGUAGCGAAAGACGGGUGAGAAUCCCGUCCACCGAUUGACUAAGGUUUCCAGAGGAAGGCUCGUCCGCUCUGGGUUAGUCGGGUCCUAAGCUGAGGCCGACAGGCGUAGGCGAUGGAUAACAGGUUGAUAUUCCUGUACCACCUAUAAUCGUUUUAAUCGAUGGGGGGACGCAGUAGGAUAGGCGAAGCGUGCGAUUGGAUUGCACGUCUAAGCAGUAAGGCUGAGUAUUAGGCAAAUCCGGUACUCGUUAAGGCUGAGCUGUGAUGGGGAGAAGACAUUGUGUCUUCGAGUCGUUGAUUUCACACUGCCGAGAAAAGCCUCUAGAUAGAAAAUAGGUGCCCGUACCGCAAACCGACACAGGUAGUCAAGAUGAGAAUUCUAAGGUGAGCGAGCGAACUCUCGUUAAGGAACUCGGCAAAAUGACCCCGUAACUUCGGGAGAAGGGGUGCUCUUUAGGGUUAACGCCCAGAAGAGCCGCAGUGAAUAGGCCCAAGCGACUGUUUAUCAAAAACACAGGUCUCUGCUAAACCGUAAGGUGAUGUAUAGGGGCUGACGCCUGCCCGGUGCUGGAAGGUUAAGAGGAGUGGUUAGCUUCUGCGAAGCUACGAAUCGAAGCCCCAGUAAACGGCGGCCGUAACUAUAACGGUCCUAAGGUAGCGAAAUUCCUUGUCGGGUAAGUUCCGACCCGCACGAAAGGCGUAACGAUUUGGGCACUGUCUCAACGAGAGACUCGGUGAAAUCAUAGUACCUGUGAAGAUGCAGGUUACCCGCGACAGGACGGAAAGACCCCGUGGAGCUUUACUGUAGCCUGAUAUUGAAAUUCGGCACAGCUUGUACAGGAUAGGUAGGAGCCUUUGAAACGUGAGCGCUAGCUUACGUGGAGGCGCUGGUGGGAUACUACCCUAGCUGUGUUGGCUUUCUAACCCGCACCACUUAUCGUGGUGGGAGACAGUGUCAGGCGGGCAGUUUGACUGGGGCGGUCGCCUCCUAAAAGGUAACGGAGGCGCUCAAAGGUUCCCUCAGAAUGGUUGGAAAUCAUUCAUAGAGUGUAAAGGCAUAAGGGAGCUUGACUGCGAGACCUACAAGUCGAGCAGGGUCGAAAGACGGACUUAGUGAUCCGGUGGUUCCGCAUGGAAGGGCCAUCGCUCAACGGAUAAAAGCUACCCCGGGGAUAACAGGCUUAUCUCCCCCAAGAGUUCACAUCGACGGGGAGGUUUGGCACCUCGAUGUCGGCUCAUCGCAUCCUGGGGCUGUAGUCGGUCCCAAGGGUUGGGCUGUUCGCCCAUUAAAGCGGUACGCGAGCUGGGUUCAGAACGUCGUGAGACAGUUCGGUCCCUAUCCGUCGUGGGCGUAGGAAAUUUGAGAGGAGCUGUCCUUAGUACGAGAGGACCGGGAUGGACAUACCUCUGGUGUACCAGUUGUCGUGCCAACGGCAUAGCUGGGUAGCUAUGUGUGGACGGGAUAAGUGCUGAAAGCAUCUAAGCAUGAAGCCCCCCUCAAGAUGAGAUUUCCCAACUUCGGUUAUAAGAUCCCUCAAAGAUGAUGAGGUUAAUAGGUUCGAGGUGGAAGCAUGGUGACAUGUGGAGCUGACGAAUACUAAUCGAUCGAAGACUUAAUCAA
rnacentral:rRNA from 1 species